UACGUAGGGUGCGAGCGUUGUCCGGAAUUAUUGGGCGUAAAGAGCUCGUAGGCGGUUUGUCGCGUCGACUGUGAAAACCUACAGCUUAACUGUGGGCUUGCAGUCGAUACGGGCAGACUUGAGUUCGGUAGGGGAGACUGGAAUUCCUGGUGUAGCGGUGAAAUGCGCAGAUAUCAGGAGGAACACCGGUGGCGAAGGCGGAUCUCUGGGCCUUACCUGACGCUGAGGCGCGAAAGCUAGGGGAGCGAACAGG
rnacentral:rRNA from 1 species